rnacentral:pre_miRNA from 1 species
UUGUCCCCUGGAGUUCCCCUGACCGCUUCAUUGGGGUUAUUCUAUACCCUUAAGUAAAGGGUUUAAUCAUUUCUUAUGCUAACCCUACUGAAGUGUUUGGGGGAACUCCGGGUGUUAC